rnacentral:sRNA from 1 species
GAAAACUCAAUAAGAUGCGAAGCUCAGGGUCAGGCCUGUGGCAGGAGCCUGCAAACCGGCCUCUGAACUCCCUACUCAGGUACACAAUGACCCGCAGUGUGGCUCUUCACCCUACACCUGCUCCAGGGCUGUCAGCCUCUUCUUUGUGGGUGAGCAGGAGAUCCAUCUGGCCAAGGAGGUCACCCAUGGAGGCAUGAGGGUCCAACUGCCACAUGUCAUGGGGAGCGUACGUCUGCAGCGGCUUGCCGGCUAUGUCAUCGUGCGGCAUCAGUCAGCCUUCACACUGGCCUGGGAUGGUGCCUCGGCUGUCUACAUCAAGAUGAGUCCAGAGCUUCUGGGCUGGACCCAUGGGCUGUGUGGGAACAACAAUGCUGACCCCAAGGAUGAUCUGGUGACCAGCUCUGCUCAAGUUGGGGUUCUGUGUGGGGCUGUGUGGCUUUGCCAGCCCCUAGCCCUGGCUCCUGGUCCCUUGCUCUAGGGCGUGUACGAGCAGUGUGAGGCUCUACUGCGGCCCCCCUUUGACGCCUGCCACGCCUACGUCAG